rnacentral:lncRNA from 1 species
GCAGCCGGACAUACUAGCAAUGCUUAAUAGAGGAAAUGCCCGAUCGUGAAAUUCUGAUAACAGAGCUUUGUUUGAGUUAAGUUUUAGUGGAGUAUCGGCAACGGUAGGAACAGCUAUAACUCCAUCGUCCUGCACACCAGGUCGUGUAUCAAAUGGCAUCAUGUACCUUUAAGAGACUGCGAAGAGCUGCGCGCAUUUCAGUUCUGACCAUGUAGUAAGCUUCAAUAUUUUCAUGUGUGGCUGUAAUUGCUGCAUGAACGCUAUCAGACACAUCAGAUCCUAGCCUGGGCUUGACU